AAUGUGAUGAUCCUACUUUAUUACUGAUACUCUAACUAGAACUCCGCAUGAAAGAUUUGGUAAUCUCAUCUUUGCAGGUCCACUCAGAUUAUUAAUAUCUCAUUGAUGUGGUUCUACUGCUGCAUCCCCUUAGUGUGGGCUCAUGUAUCGAACCGAACUUCAAAUAACUCUUGUGAUGGCUUGGUUCAUUUACUACUCAAACAUCUUAUCCUUCAAAUAUUCGAUACUCCCCCGCUAGCCACUCCACAGAGGAUAAUAGUUCUGAGUGAGUGAUAUGAGUUUUAAAAGAGUGAGUUGGACUUUUUCUUGUAGACUGAUGUAGUAUUGAAUAUUUGAGGAUAAGAUGAUCAAAACAUGACAACUGAUUCUCUUUCAUUUUAUAAAUUUAGAGUUGAUUUUGUUA